rnacentral:sRNA from 1 species
AGAUUUUUAUUUUGGUUUUAGAUUUUAUAAGACGAGAAAUC